UUUACAUUUCUUUCCAUAGAAACUGCACACAGCUUGCCUUUACCCCAACUGAUUGCCAGUAAAAGUCAGGGCUGGGACUGGUCAGGGCCUUUGUCAGUUGCAGCAGCAGCACUGGUCACCUUGGUUGGCACCCUGCUUUCUCUCUCUUAGUUGUGUCACUUAGUAUAUCUUUUUCCUCACACCUGUGUAAUAUACUAGGCAGGGGACUGGAACCUAACUGCAGGGGUCUACCAUAAUAUUCGGAGGAUUUCUGGCCCACGUGUUAUAGAAAAAACAUGGAAAGAAGCCACUGCCCUUAUGCGAGUGCUAGAGUGUAAAUUGCCAUAGGCUCGUUCCAGUAAAGCACAGCGCUGCCAGCGAGCGGAAGGUGGGAGUGGGACGGUCCAUGUGGGCAGUCUCCAAAUAGCAGGCUACGACGCCAGUAGCAGAGGUGGGAAAUAGCAAUUUUCUGUGGCAAAUCCUGGCAAAUGCCACCAUAAAGAUGCAGCGUGACACCAGCAGUUCUAGGACUUAGUGACACCACGCACCUCCUCCUGUGACACCCAGGGUGGGAAUGUCGUCUCUGCAGUAGUCUUGACAAAAACGUGCCGUCUUGCUCUCAUCACCAGGGGAUCCCGAACAGCCGGCCGAGGGGCCUGUGCAGAGCGUAAGGAUGGGUUUCACGGAAGGCAGCAGACUGCUGAAGGACGGCCACAGAUGGGAGGGGACUGACUGCCCCGGCCACCAGAUACAAUGUGAAGUCUUCGGUAGAUCCUGGAAAGGACCGACGGGUGCAGUCCAAGUGAACUCUUGAAUGAGACUAGCGAUGCCCUAGGAGUGUCCAUUUCCUGAUGUCGAUUAUCUUGCUGUGGUUCUCUUAGGUUCUGUCCAAAGGAGCCAGGAGCUGUGUUUAUAGGAACUCUGUGCCCUUCUUUAAAUGUGCAGUUUCUUCUACCUAAAAGAUUUUAAAUGAAGCUAAUAAACAGGUCUUUGUAGGCAGCAUAGUUCAUGUGGCUUGUGAUUGGUGAUUAAUAUAGUCUUUUCCAUGUGAUGACUCAGCUGGUUUGAGCCCGUCUUCUAGCUCUGCUUUAUGUGCUCUUGGUUCACUCUUCCCUCUUUUGGAGUAGUAUUUUCAUUUCUCCCUGCUGUGCCUCUGUUGCAUGGUGUGUAUGUGGCAGUUUCCCAGUGUGUGGCCUGGGUCUGCCAGGCCUCCUCCAUUCAGUGUCCAUCCCCCGUGCUGCAUGUGCGUGGGAAGAGUGGGACAUUGUCUGCCUUCCUGCCUGUGUGCUGCCGUCUCCUACAGUUUACUUCUUUGCUCAUUGUAGACCCUGCCAUGCCUUAUUCUUUUCACUGGGAAAAAUGUGCCCCCCAUGAACUGACCCCCAUCACCCUGGACUGCGCAGCCCCAAGGCAUCAGGGAUUGAAAGGACGAUAAACGGGUUCCUGGCCAUCCUCAUGCUCACGCUGGUGGCAUCGUGGGAAGCCUCCUCCUGUCCCACACUGAGCAGCUCUGCCGAAGAGGGACUGCCUUGCCUUCCGUCUGUGCAGAAUCCUCUCAGGAGAGGCCUGUGCUGACAGCAGCGUCCUUCCGGCUGGUGGGACUGCGCCAUGACAGGUCUAUCCGGGGAGCACACGGAGACUGUGGCGUGAGACUUGCUGAGCAGAAUAGACUGCUGACCUAACUCGGCUCAAUUCAGAAGAAAUAAAGGAUCACAAAUACAUAGAAGAGACCAGAGAGAAGAGCCAGGCUUCAGACUCCAGCCUGAGACACUCCGAGGCACAGCCCUCCAUGACCCCAGGGCCUUUAUACUCCCUAUUCUCCAGGCCUGAGUCUCUCUCUGCAGGCUCCUCCUCACUGUCCCCGUGCCAGCCCGUGUGGCCACCUGCCUGUGUACUCUGGUGGGUUCCUGGGUCUCCCUCACCAGGCUGCCAGCCCCUUCACUGGAUUUCUUUUCUCCUUCUGCCUCUAGACCCCAGCAUUCCUCCCUCCUGCAGCUGUGCUGGCCCUGCUCUGGGAGUAUGGGCGUCGGGCUGUCUUCCUGUGGCUCCGUCCUGCGGUGUGGGUCUCACACACCCCACUGGGAGUCUCUCUCCAUUGACAGAAGCGCUAGAGCCAUCGCGGCCUUUGUAAUGUGUUUCCUGGGUCUCAACCCUCCAUGGAGACCCUGUGAGACUGUAGGGCAGAUGCAGUCCUUGUGCCCACUUAGAGGAGGAAGUCAAGGGUCCCAGGGGGUGAGGAACUCGGAGGACCAGUGGGUGAGCAGUGUUUGGGGCCAGGCCCUGCUCCACCUCCCAGCGGCUGGUCUAAGGCUCUGUCCCCACGGGCUGAUCCCCUCCUUCAGAGGUCAGGAGCUUCAUGCCUGCACUCUGGUCCCUGAUGGACUGGCCUCCCUCACCUUUGGAGGACGUUCCCUGGUCACGCAUCUGCGUCUGGUCAGCCCUGUUACUCCCGCCCACUGCAGAGAGACAGAACCCCUCUUCUGUGAGCUGUGGUCAUUCUGAGAAAGGUCCAGGUACUGGGCUGGGGUCUCAGCUGGAGGAUCUCACACCUAAGGCUUCUUCCCAGAUCCCCGCCUGUCCUGCAGCAGAGCUCUGGGCCCCCAUGCAUGGUACUGGUGACACAAGGCACGUCGCUAACAAAACAGGUGUGCAGAUGCUGAGGUGAAUGGCAGCUCCUAGGAGUGGCUGAAGCACUUGGCACGAUUCUCUCUAUGACAGCAGACAUAAUUCACCUCUUCCUCUUCGAUUCUUGGACCGCUUUCUGCUUGUACCAUCCAAACCUCCCAUGCAGCGAGUCAAGAUGAUGGCUGUCACAGCUGGUUUGUGCUGCUGCGCACAGGGUGGCGGAUAAAGAACUGGAAUGGACUCCUCGCAGUGCUGCAGGCUGGGAGCCCAAGUCUGAGACGCUGCCCUCCCAGGGGCUGGCUACGACAUCCCAUGGUGUCCUGACUGCAGACACAGCCAGCCCAACUCCAGGAAGCAAUGGCGUGGCCAGGCGUGGAAGCCAGGUAGGGCCGACAGGUCCCACAGCCAGUGGAGGGCAGUGUCGGCUGGGGCAGGGACCCCAGGGGUGG